UGCCAAAUUUGACAGAAGAAUGUGCCGCCUUUGGCAUGAACAGCGUCCACGAUGGGUUUCCACGCUUCAACUUGCUCUUUUGUCCAUAUGCCAGGUGUGUGUGGAUACCUUCAUUACAAUUAGUCGAAGAUAGUUAUAGAAUUGGUUACUAUAUUAAAUUAUUAAUUGCAAGUUAGUUCAGAUCAGUUAGAUUAAUAGGGAUUACUUUGCAGUAAUUCGCUGCGAUUCUGUUAAAUUGACCGCAAAUUUAAAUAUGCACUAACUACUACUAAGUAAUAUUAGUUGGCAUGAUGCAUCGAUCAGUUCGAGUUGAAGCAAAUUAAGCAUGAAGAGUGAGCAAUGAAUGAAAGGAAAAAAGUGUUACCCUUGAGCAGUUUCAGAGACGCCAGUAGCUUCAGAUAUGAGAAGACCUCCAUUAGAGGUCCUUUGAGAGUAAUAGAGAACAGCAUGAGGUUGAGGAACGUUGUUGUAGGAUCGUUGUCUAGUCAACGAUGCCAAAACUACUCUAAAAUUAAAUUAUUACAUACACAAACACAAACAUAGGAUGAGUGAGUAUUUUAAGCAAUUUUAAUUCGGAAGCAAGGAAUGAAAGCAUAGUAAACAUACCUAUGAGCCAGAUUAAAUUUGCCCAUCUUGUAAGGAGUAAGAAGAGAACUGGGAUCACCAGCCAUAAUUAUAAACUAAUACUACUGAUUAGAAAUGUAAUAAUAAUGAGGAAAAUAUACACUUUACUAUGAAGUUGAAGUUGGUAUUUAUUUUAGACUAAAACUGAAAAGUGGUGGGUGGGGGGGACCUUUAUGCUUGUUUGCUAUUGCGUUAGGUGAAUGAUGUUUACAAUACAUUACAUAUUUUAUGCCUUCUGCAUUAAGGUAUGUCCUGCAUCAGGGCAAGUAAUUUGUGCGUACAUAGCUUCACCCAAAUCUAAAUCCCAAAUCCUAAUUUAUGCCUUCUUCAAAGUUUCUUUGGGUGAAAAAUUACACAUGCAUUUUAGGGAGUAUCCGAGUAUAUGCAAAUAUUUGUCUUUAUAGUUAUUUUGAGUGAUAUUAGUUCUUAACUUUUUUCUUUGUGUACAAAAAGAUCCUAUCAGUAUCUUUAUAGUUUUAAAAAAGUUUAACUAGUAAUUUUGAUCUAGUAUAUGAUUAGUAUAACUUUUUGAGGAUCACACUUUCUUUUCUAAAAUUCUAACUCAUAUUCAAAACAUAGUGAAAAAAACAGUUCUGGAUACUAAAAUAGUCCUAGCAAAGAAGUAUGAUAAGAAUUAAUAUAAAAAUAGAUAAGCAUCACAAUUCUUAUUUUAAUGACCAAAUUUUUCUUACAAGUUCCCUUCGCAGGAACUAAUACUAUUCAAGACACAGUCAGACACUAAAUAUGAGUAUUGUUCUGGUACCAACUUUAUCACAAAAUGUGUUGGAUGCUAAAACAUCAUUCAAGAAAAGGAUAGUCAGUAUAACCAAGAACUGGAUCAUGACUAUAGAAUGUCUCCCUGUAAUACUUAUUUAGAGGAGCAUUAAGUGCAAAUCUCUUCGGCAAAUCUGGAUUAGAUAUGAAAUAACGACCAUAAGCAAUAAGGUCUGCUCUAUUCUCAGCAAUAGCAUUGAUCCCAUCUUGUCUACCAUAACCUCCUGUAACCAUGAAAGUGCCAUUGAAAGCCUUUCUCAUUGGUAUUAGGCUGUGAGAGCAUUCAGUUUCCAGUCUUGGUUCUACCAUUUGACAGUAUAGAACACCAUAUUUAUUGACAGCAUUAACCAUAUAAAGUCCUAAUUCUAGGGGAUUUGAGUCCCCACAUUCUCCAAAUGUUGAAAAAGGUGACAAUUUUAUACCAACUCUUUCCGCACCUAUCUCAUUUGCAACAGCUUCAACAAUUUCCAAAGUAAAUCGACAACGGUUCUCAAGGGAUCCACCAUAUUCAUCUGUUCUGUCAUUUGCUUUAUCUUUCAUGAAUUGCUCAAGAAGAUAGCCAUGAGCCCCGUGGAUCUCAACCCCGUCAAAACCUACAAUUUCACCACACCAAGUAUCUAAAAUGUCCUACUAUUAGAAAAAGUUGAAAUAGUGACAAUGACUGAAAAAUGUGAAAUACACCUUUAAUUUCGAUGUUAAGUGUCUGAGACAACAAAUAUGAUGAUAAUUUUUUUUUCCGUCUCCAAUUUUUGUCAUCAUUGACUUACUUCGAUUAUCAUUACUCUAGUGUCUCUUAUAUUGAAGCAUAUGGAUUAAAGAUUGGUAAAUGUUAAUUACCAGCUUCAAUGGCAUUUCUUGCAGCAAGUCUAAAGUGAUUGACAAUAUUAGGAAUUUCUUCAGUCCUUAGCCUCCUUGGUGGUGUGAACUGUGGUAUUUCAACACCAUCACCUCCAAUUUGUGGUGUGAGUAGCGGCUUGUCUGUGGAAGAUAUUGGUGCUUGCCCAUUUGGUUGAUAAACUGUUUGAUAAAUAGUAUGGAAAAUGGGGAUACAGUACAUAUCAUGUUUAGAACAAAUGUAUAUAAUAAAUUUAAGUGACACUAACGAUCAUUUUACAACUGUCCUGACGAAAUUUGAACUCGGCAUUUUGAGAUUGUAAUGUUAAACUACCACUGAGCUAGCUCCUGAAGUGUUAUGUAGAUGAUACAUGUAAUUAAACUAAUGAAAAUAAAAUCAGUAUCAUUCAGUAACAAAAAUCUAAGUCCUGCCAAAUAUAGUAUUGAGAAAAAUCAGAAAAAUUAGUUAAAUAAUUGCUAAUUAAUUUGAUAAAGUUUAGUACAUACCAGAAUCAGAAACCCUUCCAACAUGCCAAAUUUGACAGAAGAAUGUACCGCCUUUGGCAUGAACAGCAUCGACGAUGGGUUUCCACGCUUCGACUUGCUCUUUUGUCCAUAUGCCAGGUGUGUUUGGAAACCUAUAUUACAAUUAGUUGAAGAUAGUUAUAGAGUUAGUUAGCAUUAAUCGCAAGUUAGUUCAAAUUUGUUAGUUUAGUCACGGUUACUAUAUAAAUUGUAUAUAUCAUAUACUCAUAGUUAUAGAGUUAGUUAGUAUUAAUCGCAGUUAGUUCAAAUUUGUGAUUCUGUCAAAUUUACCGUCAAUUCAAAUAUGCGCCAUCAAGUCAUAAUUAGUUGUCAUGGACUCAUGAUGCAAUUGAUCGGUUCGAG
rnacentral:lncRNA from 1 species